rnacentral:rRNA from 1 species
UAGGGAAUCUUCCACAAUGGACGAAAGUCUGAUGGAGCAACGCCGCGUGAGUGAAGGAGGGUUUCGGCUCGUAAAACUCUGUUGUUAAAGAAGAACAUAUCUGAGAGUAACUGUUCAGGUAUUGACGGUAUUUAACCAGAAAGCCACGGCUAACUACGUGCCAG